CUGAGAGCUCCUGGCAUUUCAGCUACAACUACAUUUCUCCUGCCUGCUUGGCUCACUUGUAUGCUCCUGGCUCCCAAGCUUCAUCUACACCUCUCUGGCCUGAUUGACUCACCUGCAUGCUCCUAGCCUCCUGGCUACACCGACUUCUCUCCUGCCUGCUUGACUCAAUCAUGUGCUCCAGGCUCCUCAGCUACAACUACAUCACUCUUGCCUGCCUGACCCACCAGUGUGUCCUGCGCUCUCUAACCGUAUCCAUUACACUGCCUGCUGGCUCAGCUCGCCUGUGGUUCCCCGGCCUAUCAGCUCCACAAACACCUCAGCGGCUGGCAUCACUUUCCCCAUACAGAGUGCCCCAGAUCCAUGGCAGAGAGCCUUGCAAUUGUGUCACCAGGCUAGGACUCAGCCCUCUGGGAAUAGGACAGGCUUCGCAAGAGUUCGUGGUAGGAAGCCUGUUCAUAUACCUGGAGGUGUUCUUAAGAUGGUUGCUGCUUGUUCAGCUCACUUUGGGUCCUUUGGUGCAGUCCUAGUUGAGCCGGUCGACGCUGGCCAUAGCAGCUUGGGAGCCAUAUUGUCCCAGGAGCAGGAUGGCCAGUAUUCCUUAUCGGCCAGGCCACAUUAAUAAGGAUGCAGAUGCUUUUCAAGACAGCUGGUGGCUCCAGUCUCACAAAUGGUGGAACCAUCUCUCCCAGGAACUGCGAUACCUGUGGCUUUGCAGGUGGCUACGGGGGAGUGUGUGGACCAAUAUGCUGAGCAGUCAGCAGUGAUAGCUCUUCCAUCUCGUACAGAUACUCAUCUGAUCUGAUCUUUCAGCCCUCCAGAGGGCUGACCCCACCAUUAGCACCUUUAUCUCGUUUUGGGACAGCCAGAGAAUGCGCAAUCAGGCUGAAAAGGAGAGACUGACUUAGACCUCUUGAAACAGGAGGGACAAUAUUCUUUUGUAUAUCAUAUUAGCAUGACCAAACUUUUGGGAGUGAGCAAACCAGAACCAAGAUCUUCCAGCCAUAUCAUUAUAUGGGCCGUGACACACCAGUCAGCCAUCCACCACCACUGGGCUGUUGGUGAGCUCAGCCUUCCAGUAUGUCCUGCACUGGUGGGACUAGUCCACCCUCUCGGUAACUUUUCGGCAGAUUGGGUGAGUUGAAUUGGCAUCGGGCCAAUUGGGUUUCAUCAGUUAGAGAUCACUCUGAUUGGCUGUUCAAUCAAUGCAUGAGAAGAGAAUGCUUCAGCAACUAUGAUUGUAUAUAAAAGCUGGACAACCCCACCAUGAUGUCACCUGUUGGUUUUCUGAAGAACAGUUCUGACGCUUGAGUCUGGCCAUUGCCAUAUUAGUAGUGCUUCACUCUGCCUGUUAUGUUUUAAAUCCAAAAAUGGGCAAAGAGGCGGAUCAUGAAUAGUGUGCAUUAGACAGCUGGCAGCUAUCCACCAAUGGCAUGACUCUCCCGCCUGUCACUCAAAGUGGCCACACCCUUAAUUAUUCAUAACUUUUAGUCUCAAUGUAAUUUAAAU